UACGUAGGGUGCAAGCGUUAAUCGGAAUUACUGGGCGUAAAGCGUGCGCAGGCGGUUAUGCAAGACAGAUGUGAAAUCCCCGGGCUCAACCUGGGAACUGCAUUUGUGACUGCAUGGCUAGAGUGCGGCAGAGGGGGAUGGAAUUCCGCGUGUAGCAGUGAAAUGCGUAGAUAUGCGGAGGAACACCGAUGGCGAAGGCAAUCCCCUGGGCCUUACCUGACGCUGAGGAGCGAAAGCGUGGGGAGCAAACAGG
rnacentral:rRNA from 1 species